UACGUAGGGCGCAAGCGUUAUCCGGAAUUAUUGGGCGUAAAGAGCUCGUAGGCGGUUUGUCGCGUCUGCCGUGAAAGUCCGGGGCUCAACUCCGGAUCUGCGGUGGGUACGGGGCAGACUAGAGUGAUGUAGGGGAGACUGGAAUUCCUGGUGUAGCGGUGAAAUGCGCAGAUAUCAGGAGGAACACCGAUGACGAAGGCAGGUCUCUGGGCAUUAACUGACGCUGAGGAGCGAAAAGCAUGGGGGAGCGAACAGG
rnacentral:rRNA from 1 species